UACAGAGGUCCCAAGCGUUGUUCGGAUUCACUGGGCGUAAAGGGUGCGUAGGUGGCGGGGCAAGUUCGAUGUGAAAGCUCCGAGCUCAACUCGGAAAUGGCAUUGAAAACUGCCUUGCUUGAGGGUUGGAGGGGGGACUGGAAUUCUCGGUGUAGCGGUGAAAUGCGUAGAUAUCGAGAGGAACACCAGUGGCGAAGGCGAGUCCCUGGACAACCCCUGACACUGAGGCACGAAAGCUAGGGGAGCAAACAGG
rnacentral:rRNA from 1 species